rnacentral:tRNA from 1 species
GCUGAUGUGGUGGAAUUGGUAGACACGCCGGACUUAAAAUCCUGUGACCAUUAGGUCGUGCGGGUUCAAGUCCCGCCAUCAGUACGA